CUUGACAAACCUAUAAGAGGUCCAGCCUGCCCAGUGACUCUGUUCAACGGCCGCGGUAUCCUAACCGUGCGAAGGUAGCGUAAUCACUUGUUCUUUAAAUGAGGACUAGUAUGAAUGGCACCACGAAGGUUAUACUGUCUCCUUUUUCUAAUCAGUGAAACUAAUCUUCCCGUGAAGAAACGGGAAUAAAAAUAUAAGACGAGAAGACCCUAUGGAGCUUUAAACAAAUAUACACCUGCCUCUUUACCAAAAAUUUCAGAAGACAAGUAAUUACCCGGGCAUUUUGAUAUAGCGUUUUAGGUUGGGGUGACCGCGGAGCAAAAAAUAACCUCCGCAGCGAACGGGAGUAUUCCCUAAACCAAGGGCCACAACCCUAAGUAUUAAUAAAUUAACACUAAUUGACCCAAUAAAUUUGAUCAAUGAAC
rnacentral:rRNA from 1 species